UACAGAGGUCUCAAGCGUUGUCCGGAGUUACUGGGCGUAAAGGGCAUGCAGGCGGUCCGACACGUUUUGUGUGACAGCGGGUGGCUUAACUACCCGAGGAUACGAAAGACGGUUGGACUUGAGGACUCGAGAGGGACACGGAAUUCCGGGUGGAGUGGUGAAAUGCGUAGAGAUCCGGAGGAACACCGAAGGCGAAGGCAGUGUCCUGGCGAGUGACUGACGCUGAGGUGCGAAAGCCAGGGGAGCGAACGGG
rnacentral:rRNA from 1 species